CCCUUAGAUGUCCUGGGCCGCACGCGCGUUACACUGAUGCAUUCAACGAGCUUAUAACCUUGACCGAGAGGCCCGGGCAAUCUUGUUAACGUGCAUCGUGAUAGGGAUAGAUUAUUGAAAUUAUUAAUCUUGAACGAGGAAUUCCUAGUAAACGCAGAUCAUCAAUCUGCAUUGAUUACGUCCCUGCCCUUUGUACACACCGCCCGUCGCACCUACCGAUUGGAUGGUCCGGUGAAGCCUCGGGAUUGUGGUUCUUGCCGCUUUAUUGUGGCGUGACCGCGAGAACUUGUCUAAACCUUAUCAUCUAGAGGAAGGUGAAGUCGUAACA
rnacentral:rRNA from 1 species